rnacentral:rRNA from 1 species
UGGGGAAUAUUGCACAAUGGGCGCAAGCCUGAUGCAGCCAUGCCGCGUGAGUGAAGAAGGCCCUAGGGUUGUAAAGCUCUUUCAGUGGUGAAGAUAAUGACGGUAGCCACAGAAGAAGCCCCGGCCAACUCCGUGCCAGCAGCCGCGGUAAUACGGAGGGGGCUAGCGUUGUUCGGAAUUACUGGGCGUAAAGCGCGCGUAGGCGGAUCGGUUAGUUGGGGGUGAAAUCCCGAGGCUUAACCUCGGAACUGCCCUCAAUACUGCCGGUCUUGAGUUCGAGAGAGGUGAGUGGAAUUCCUAGUGUAGAGGUGAAAUUCGUAGAUAUUAGGAAGAACACCAGUGGCGAAGGCGGCUCACUGGCUCGAUACUGACGCUGAGGCGCGAAAGCGUGGGGAGCAAACAGGAUUAGAUACCCCCGUAGUCC